rnacentral:guide_RNA from 1 species
AAUCACAAACGAAUAGAAAGCAAGAGAGAUGUAUGUAUU